GAAACCAACAGGGAUUGCCCCAGUAACGGCGAGUGAAGCGGCAACAGCUCAAAUUUGAAAUCUGGCGCCCUCGGGCGCCCGAGUUGUAAUUUGCAGAGGAAGCCUUUGGCAGAGCGCCGCCCGAGUCCCCUGGAACGGGGCGCCGGAGAGGGUGAGAGCCCCGUACGGUCGGACGCCGAGCCUGUGUAAGGCCCCUUCGAAGAGUCGAGUAGUUUGGGAAUGCUGCUCUAAGCGGGAGGUGUACCCCUUCUAAAGCUAAAUACCGGCCAGAGACCGAUAGCGCACAAGUAGAGUGAUCGAAAGAUGAAAAGCACUUUGGAAAGAGGGUCAAAUAGUACGUGAAAUUGCUGAAAGGGAAGCGCCUGUGACCAGACUCGCGCCCGGCGGAUCACCCGGCUCCGGCCGGGGCACUCCGUCGGGCUCGGGCCAGCGCCGGCUCGCCGCGGGGGUCAAAGGCGUCGGGAACGUGGCUCCCCCGGGAGUGUUAUAGCCCGGCGCGCAAUACCCCGCGACGGGCCGAGGCCCGCGCAUCAUGCAAGGGCGCUGGCGUAAUGGUCAUCGGCGGCCCGUCUUGAAACACGGACCAAGGAGUCGUCCUCGCGCGCGAGUGUUCGGGUGUCAAAACCCCUACGCGUAAUGAAAGUGAACGCAGGUGGGAGCCUCGGCGCACCACCGACCGAUCCUGAUGUCCUCGGAUGGAUUUGAGUAAGAGCGCGCGGGGCCGGACCCGAAAGAAGGUGAACUAUGCGUGUGUAGGGUGAAGCCAGAGGAAACUCUGGUGGAGGCUCGCAGCGGUUCUGACGUGCAAAUCGAUCGUCAAACAUGCGCAUGGGGGCGAAAGACUAAUCGAACCUUUCUAGUAGCUG
rnacentral:rRNA from 1 species